rnacentral:misc_RNA from 1 species
GCUCUCUCUCUCUCUCUCUCUGAAUAUGUUUUUAGUGGCAGAUUAAUGGAGAGGAAUUGUUUAGGUUGGAGUAAUUAGGCGAGAUAAAGGGUAAUUUAGUCAUAUCAAGGAAUAUUUUGUUAUAAUAUAGUUGAUAUAACUGUUUCCUUAAUCACAGUGUAAAAACCUUAAACAACAUAUAUAAGUGGACAGAGUGAGUAUAUCUUUGUGGUUUCUUCUUGCAAACUGAUUAGUGAAUUAAUUAUUUUCUUGUUGCGAUUGUGUUUAUUGGUUUCAUUUCAUAUGGUGCAUGGAAGAAUAUCCUACAGCCAGUUCUGCAUUUAGUGUGUCAAAGAAACUUGAGUUGCUGACACUAAUUUUGAAAUUUAGCAAUCUGUCAGAAUGAUGUUUGUUUAAUACAAUGAUGUAAUUUUAAAUUUUAAUUGAUAAAUUAAAAGCAAGUGAUGAGAUUGAACCGCAAGUCUCUUCAUUAUUCACCUGUGAUGAGCUUAUCAUGUUGGCAGACUUUCACAAAUUUAUGGUGAUGCAUAUACGUUUUUCAUGCUUCCCAAAUUAAAUGAUUAUAUAAGCUAUUAAUAUACAUUACUUUUCUCUGUAUUAAAACGUAAUGUUUUGUGUUUUUCAAAAAAAAAUGUUAUUUAUCACAAUGUGCUUGCAUUUGAAAAUUUGAAAAUUUUCUUAUUCACCAUGUUAAAAGUGUGGAUUUCCAGAACUUUGGAUUGAGGACAGAUACAGUAUUUUGUGGA